AUUGAACGCUGGCGGCAGGCCUAACACAUGCAAGUCGAGCGGAUGAAGGGAGCUUGCUCCUGGAUUCAGCGGCGGACGGGUGAGUAAUGCCUAGGAAUCUGCCUGGUAGUGGGGGAUAACGUCCGGAAACGGGCGCUAAUACCGCAUACGUCCUGAGAGAGAAAGUGGGGGAUCUUCGGACCUCACGCUAUCAGAUGAGCCUAGGUCGGAGUAGCUAGUUGGUGGGGUAAAGGCCUACCAAGCCGACGAUCCGUAACUGGUCUGAGAGGAUGAUCAGUCACACUGGAGCUGAGACACGGUCCAGACUCCUGCGGGAGGCAGCAGUGGGGAAUAUUGGACAAUGGGCGAAAGCCUGAUCCAGCCAUGCCGCGUGUGUGGAGAAGGUCUUCGGAUUGUAAAGCACUUUAAGUUGGGGGGAAGGGCAGUAAGUUAAUACCUUGCUGUUUUGACGUUACCAACAGAAUAAGCACCGGCUAACUUCGUG
rnacentral:rRNA from 1 species